GGUGGAGGCCCAAGGAUUCUGCUUGCCUCUGAGGAUGCUGAGUCAGAGCUCAGGACCACAAGGAGGAUGCUGGGAGGAAGCCAGGAAGAGCGGAAGGCAGGAUCCGCAAGCCACAGGGUUCCCAGGAGGGAAGGGUUGCUGGGCGCUGGGGAGGGCUGUGUGGGCGGAGCAGCAUCCGGAAGCUGGGAACCGCUCCUGCAUCUCCGCGCACAUCUCCUGCUGCACCGGGAGAAGCGCUCCCGCCCCCAGACCUCCAUUCCGGCUCCUAGCCAAAACCAUGGGUGUCUGGUGUCGCCUCGGCGGCAUCCUCUGGCUCGCCUGCCUUCUGCCCCUAACCCUGGGAAGGGUGCCUACAGGUCUCUAUGAUCUUAAUCUUACCACCAAUGGACCUGCCACCACUGGAGCAGAAGUGACCAUUUCAGCCAGCCUGGUGGCCAAGGACAAUGGCAGCCUCACCCUGCCCCCAGACACCCACCUGUACCAUUUCCACUGGAUCUACUCACCACUGAUGCUCACUGCCAAGAUGGAGAAGGAUCUGACCUCAACCAUCCAAGUGGUGGGCAAUGUGCCUGGGGACUUUCCGGUGUCUGUCUGGGUCACUGCCACCCACUGCUGGAUGUGCCAGCCUGUAGCCAGGAACAUGGUGGUCCUCAACUUUACUGAGUUCCUCAUGGGAGACCUCAUCAUUGCCCAAAACACCUCCCUGCCUUGGCCAAGCUCCUACAUCACGAAGUCAGUCCUUAAAGUCUCCUUUCUCCUCCGUGACCCGAGCAACUUUUUCAAGAUGGCUUCCUUUCUCUACCAGUGGGACUUCGGAGACGGAACUUUGAUGGUGACCAACAAUUCCGAGGUCUAUUAUAAGUAUUCCAUGAUCGGAGCCUUCGUUGUGAAACUGAAGGUCGUGGCAGAAUGGGAACAGACUGAGCCAGACACCACAAAGCGCAUCAUGCAGAAGACCGGCGACUUCUCAGCCUCACUAAAGCUUCAGGAAACCCUUCGAGGCAUCCAGGUUUGGGGACCCACAAUAAUUCAGACCUUCCAAAAGAUGACAGUGACCUUGAACUUCCAGGGGAGCCCGCCUUUGACUGUGUGCUGGCAGCUCAAGCUGGGGUGUCUCCCACUGGAGGAAGGAGAGUGCCACCCUGUAUCUGUGGCCAAUACAUCUUAUAACCUGACGCACAUCUUCCAUGACCCUGGGGACUACUGCUUCAGCAUCCGGGCUGAGAAUGCCAUCAGCAAGACUCACCAGUACCACAGGAUCCAGGUGUGGCCCUCCACCUCUCAGGUCAGCAUGAAGAUCAGAAUCAGAAUUCGAACUCGUGACCACCUAAUGGCAAACACUGAGUGUUUCCAUUCUUCCAUGCUGGCUUUUAGUAGGUGCUCUGUGGGUGAGAACAGAUGUGCCAACGGGAAGCUAAGGCAGAGGACACAGCACCGCUGUGAGGUUUUAUUCUUUCUACGUCACUGUCCAUCCAACACGGUUUCCAGCCUUUUGUCUUUGCUUUCCCAUGUGCCACGCUGAUCUCUGUGAUGCUGGCUUUCGUCAUUUACAUGACUCUGCGGAAUGCUGCUCAUCCUAAGGACAUGGUGGAGAACCCGGAGCCCUCUGGGGUCAGGUGCUGCUGCCGGAUGUGCUGUGGACCCUCCUUUCUGGACACAUCAUCUGAAUACCUUGAAAUCGUCAGAGAGAACCAUGGCCUGCUCCCGCCCCUCUACAAACCUGUGAAAACUUACAAUGUGUGAGCACCCCACCCCCACACCAUCUCAGUGUUCACCGACUGCCCACUGGGAGCUUCAGGCUGGGUGGCAUAAACCACCAAACAGAAGAGGUCCCUACAGGUGGGGCCAUUUGCCCAGGCCUGCCAUUGAUCUGUACAGUUUAGCCGCUCUCACAAGCCCCUUUGUGUCAUUUCCCCCUCAGCUGUCAUCCUCCCAUCCAUUCAGUGUAGUCACUGCUGUUAAGCCUCUCUGAGUCACCUCCCCACCCUCUACCAAGUAGGAAUCUGAUAUUUGGUGUUUUCUCUUAGGUUUCUUCUAAGUGAGUCCGGCUACCCAUCACCAUCUCAUAUUGGUAUCCCUGUUGUCCAUUGGGGAUUCACGCAUCAUUCUGCAGGGCAGCCCUGCCGAUGCUGGAGAGCUAGGAAGGAGGUCAUAGUUGGUUUGGAUUCCAUAGUGAAAGGUCACAUGCACUCAGUUGGGCACACUUACAGCAAGGAAGAAUAUGCGCACGGAGCAUGUAUAAGUUACUUCUCUGUUGCUGUGAUGAAACACUGACUUGGUGAGGAAAGGGUUUAUUUGGCUUACAGCUCACAGUCCAUCAUCAAGGGAAGCCAAGGCUGGAACUUAAGCAGGGCAGGAACCUGGAGGCAGGAACUGAAGCACGGACCACGGAGGGACACUGCUUACUGGCUUGCUCCUCUGGCUGUGUUCAGCCUUCUUUUUUAACCCAGGACCACCUGCCCUGGGUUGGCACUGCCCACAGAGGGCUGAGCCCUCUCACAUUACUCAAUAACCAAGAAAGUGCCCCCCAGACAUGCCUACAGUUCAGUCCAACAGAGGAAAUUCCCCAACUGAGGUUCCCUCUCUGAGGUGUGUCAAGUGAACGACUAAAGUUGUCCAUCACAGAAUGUCACAAAUGAUUAGCAUUAUCUGUAAGGCCCACUGCUGGGAUGGAUCUGAAGUAGGAACUCGGGUGGACUUUGAUCUCCCACACUCAGCCCCAGCAGAGUCCAGCCUCUCUGUCCUUGGUCUCUGCUGCCCUAUUGCCAGGCUGUUCUAUGUUCGACUUAUUGAAAGCUUGGGGCAGGAUGGCCACUCUGAGUGUAGAGUGCUUUAUAAAUUCACCAGCUUUCACUGAAACUCAUAAGUUCAAUGUCCGCUGGGAAAACAGACUUAGAGCAAAAGGAGAGAUUGAGUCAGUUAGGACUUGGGUUCAGAGAGAGAGAGAGAGAGAGAGACAGAGACAGAGACACAGAGAGAGAGAGACCUUGCCCACCCAGCUGCUCCCAAGGUAAUAGAAGGAAGAAACAGGAGGGUCAGAGCGAGAAUGGGAUAGCCAGUCCCAUCUCCUGUCUCCUUCCCUCGUAAAAGGACCUGGAGAAGGCAGAAGAUGGAAAGGAUUGGGUGCCUUGAGAGGUGAUAACUAGGUACUAGAUGCACAUAUUGGGGUGUGCCAGGCAGCCUGCUCCUGUUGAAUGGUUAGGUACAGGCACUCAUAACCAGGUGUUUGGGACAGCCUGUACCUUAUUGAAUGGUUAGGCACAGUUUCACACGUCCAGGUGUGCCGGGGCAGCCUGCACCUGUUGGAUGGUUAGGUACAGGUACAUAUUCAGGUGUGCUGGGGCAGCCUAUACCUAUUGGGGAAGGAAGGUGGAGACUGGGGGCAGGGCUGUGUCACUGCAACACUUUGCCCCUAGACUUUGAGCUCAUUCAGCGUUCACACUGUCCUGCCACUCAUUCUCAUGACAUUCCACCAUUACUGCUGAAUAAAGUGUCAGUGUUCUGAGCACCACCAA